AUUUAUAUAGUUUAAUAUAAAACAUUACAUUUUCAUUGUAAAAAUAAAAGACAUUUUUAUAAAUA
rnacentral:tRNA from 3 species